UACGGAGGGUGCAAGCGUUAUCCGGAUUCACUGGGCUUAAAGGGUGUGUAGGCGGGUAUUUAAGUCAGUGGUGAAAUCUCCGAGCUCAACUCGGAAACUGCCAUUGAUACUAUUUAUCUUGAAUAUUGUUGAGGUAGGCGGAAUAUGUCAUGUAGCGGUGAAAUGCUUAGAUAUGACAUAGAACACCGAUUGCGAAGGCAGCUUGCUAAACAAUUAUUGACGCUGAGGCACGAAAGCGUGGGGAUCAAACAGG
rnacentral:rRNA from 1 species